UCUUCAGAUGAUGAUCCCAAGCCUUCUGGCGAUCUAGACAAAACAAGUCCACCGUGGGCUUUGAAAAACGCUUUCCUUGAUAAAAUUUAAGCGUUUUAUAAGAGGAUGCCGGGGAAGGUUUUCCGGUUUAUCCCGGAGGGCUUGUAGCUCAGUUGGUUAGAGCGCGCGCUUGAUAAGCGUGAGGUCGGAGGUUCAAGUCCUCCCAGGCCCACCAGUUUAUCCAUUACUUUCAUAAGUGCUUUUAAAAAAUAAGUACUUCUAAAAAGAUUGCUUCUAAAAAGAUUGCUUCUAAAAAGAUUGCUUCUAAAAAGCUUAUCAAAAUUGGCAGGCUUAUUGCUUUUGUGUGAGUAAUCCAAAGUUAAAGCAAAUUAAUGGCAAAAAAACAGUUCAAAUGCUAAAUACUAAGGAGUCAAAAUUCCUUGCAAAGUGAUUUUUACAGCGUCCAUUUGGUUGAUAUAAAUUCCAAAUGCUCAUAGACGUCAAUGCCUAUAUGAAACUAUCGGUUCAAUCAUAUCGCUUUGAGUUAUAUAGAUUUUGUAAUCCCUCUUUUGAUCGUUUUAAACGCUUUAUCCUGAUUUAGGGGCCGUAGCUCAGCUGGGAGAGCACCUGCUUUGCAAGCAGGGG
rnacentral:misc_RNA from 1 species